AGAAGUAAACAUUCAGCGAUCUAUUGACUUUAGGAGGUAAUUUACUUUAAAGUUGCCUUUACAUGUUUCUUGAAAGGAAAUUAAAAGAAAAAUGUAUAGAAGAAAAAGGAAAAGUGGGAUUAAUAAGGCAGAAACAAAAGGAUGUAUCUUCCUUUUCCAAAUUGAAUUCAAAGUUCAAACACGAGAAAACUUAUAUUUUAUUCUCGUUUCCCUCCAUCCUUCUCCAUUAGCGGCAAACUUUGCAAACCGAGGAUUCACCGCCUAUCCCCUGCAUAUCUAAUAGCGAAAAAUAAAUUUGAAAAAAGAAAGAAGAAUAUUAGCUACUCAAAGUGCAUCAGUUGAUGGAGACACUAAUUCAGCUAGCCAGCCAUCUCUAUUAAGUGACAUGGAUAUUUGGGCGCUAUCAGUUGGUGGAAAGAAAAAAGGAGGAGUUGGAGGUCUUGGCUUCUUGGGUAGAUCUGUAAAAGUGCCUAGGCAAUCAGCAUCUGCAAUGCCGGACGAAGUUGAUGAGAUUAGAUCUCAAGUUCAUACUUUAAAUUCCAGAGCUAUAUAAUCAAUUGGAAGAAAUGCAACGUGAAAUUGAAGAGAUGAGGCGCCAAAACAAGAAGAUGAAGAAAGAGUUAGGUGACACAAAUAAGAAGCUAGAAGCAUUGAUGAAGCAUUUGCGUUUCUCAGAAUCAUCUUCAAAUGCACAACAAUCAUCUUCGGAAGACAAUGAGGAUUCUGAGAGUGCUAGUGCCUAGUGAUGAUAAUGCUGAUUCUGAUAAGUCCAAUGGAGAUGAGUAUCACUAUGAUCAGAAUUAAGAUAUUUGAUAGUAAUACUAUUUAGCAUUUAUGUAGUUGGAAGUUUAUUUAUUUUAGUGCAACAACUUCAAAUACACUCUCUCGUUGAUGACAGUUGCAAUGACUUCUAUAUUUUGAAUGAAAAUGACUAGAUUAGGAUAACAAUUUUUA